rnacentral:tRNA from 1 species
UCGUUAGCUCAGUCGGUAGAGCAGUUGACUUUUAAUCAAUGGGUCGUAGGUUCGAGCCGAGCGAAGCGAGACA